GAGGUGCAGCCCACGCUGGGCCACCUGGCCAGCUCAGGGAUCCUGCUGGAGAUCGAGGAUUGUCUGGUCGGCCUCUUACAACUCUCAGAACAUCAUCCCUGGGAGCAGCCCUGAAGAGACCAAGGAAUGGAAAAACAGAUGGAAGGACUGCAACUCACAGGUGAAAAGGAACCGGCUACGAGAGGCUCCAAACCAAGGGAGCAGCGGAGUUUGUCUC
rnacentral:lncRNA from 10 species